ensembl:lncRNA novel transcript
GGAAUAGAGCUGUACCUGGCUUCAGGCGAGACUUGGAAGUGCCUUUCGCCUCCCGCCAUGAUUCUGAGGCCUCCCCAGCCAUGUGGAACUAGCUCAAAACUUUCAGUAGGACAGCCAGGCGCGGUGGCUGAUGCCUGUAAUCCCAGCACUUUGGGAGGCCGAGGAAACUGAGGCACAGAUAUGCUCUUGGGUACUUGUCAGCAGCAGUUGUUCUACAAGCUAAAUAUCUGGAUAUCUUAAAUCUCAGAUGAGCGUCUUAGCCUCUGGAUUACUGCUCAAUGAGGAAAGCUAUGAAAUGCAUGGAUAACUUGCUAAUCAGUAUUUGCCAUAUGUGCUAGCAGCAUCAGCAUCAGUUGGGAGAUUAUGGUGGCCUCCAUGUCAGACCUCCUAAAUCGGAAUAUCAGAGAAGGUGGCCCAGGUUACCAUGCUUCAUCUGCCAAUGCAUUGAAAACUUGGAAUGUAAAUUAAUUCAACCAUUGUGGAAGAUGGUGUAGUGAUUCCUCAAAGACCUAGAAGCAGAAAUAUCAUUUGAUCCAGAAAUCCCAUUACUGUGUAUACACCCAAAGGAAUAUAAACCAUUCUAUUACAAA